UCCCCUAACAGGAAAAGUGCCCAGAUGCCU
rnacentral:piRNA from 1 species